UACGUGGGGGGGCAAGCGUUCGUCCGGAAUCAUUGGGCGUAAAGAGCGUGUAGGCGGUCCGUUAAGUCGGCUGUGAAAGUCCAAGGCUCAACCUUGGGAUGCCGGUCGAUACUGCCGGACUAGAGUUCGGAAGAGGCGAGUGGAAUUCCCGGUGUAGCGGUGAAAUGCGCAGAUAUCGGGGAGGAACACCUAUGGCGAAGGCAGCUCGCUGGGACGUUACUGACGCUGAGACGCGAAAGCGUGGGGAGCAAACAGG
rnacentral:rRNA from 1 species